UGACAAAAAAUAACGAUACGGGACUCAUCCGAGGCCCCGUAAUCGGAAUGAGAACAUCCUAAAUCCUUUAACGAGGAUCUAUUGGAGGGCAAGUCUGGUGCCAGCAGCCGCGGUAAUUCCAGCUCCAAUAGCGUAUAUUAAAGUUGUUGCGGUUAAAAAGCUCGUAGUUGGUUCUGCGUGCCACGCUGUCGGUUCACCGCCUGUCGGUGCAACUGGCAUGUCGUGGCAUGUCCUGCCGGUGGCGGAUAGGCUUCGCGGCGCUCCCUACUCGAUACGUCUUGUAGGUCGUCGCGUUGUCCUUGUACGCCGACUCAAUCCUACCGCGGUGCUCUUUACCGAGUGUCGAGGUAGGCCGGCACAUUUUACUUUGAACAAAUUAGAGUGCUUAAAGCAGGCUCUUAAAUCAGCCUGAAUAGUGGUGCAUGGAAUAAUGGAACAGGACCUUGGUUCUAUUUUGUUGGUUUUAGGAAUCCAAGGUAAUGAUCAAUAAGGACAGGCGGGGGCAUUCGUAUUGCGACGUUAGAGGUGAAAUUCUUGGAUCGUCGCAAGACGCACUAGAGCGAAAGCAUUUGCCAAGUAUGUCUUAAUUGAUCAAGAACGAAAGUUAGAGGUUCGAAGGCGAUCAGAUACC
rnacentral:rRNA from 1 species